AAGUACUACUCCAAACACACAUCCCUGGGAAUCCUGGGACUGGGUUCUCUCAAGAUGAAUUGGUUCAAAUUUGCAUUUAAAAUAGCAGAUGGGGAAAAUAAAAUGACUAAGCUUCACUACUGUGAGUCAUCAUUUUGUGAAACAACACAAUUUAUAUAAUACAGGUAAAGGAAGAAAAACUCCAUUUCCCCUAUGAAAAUUAGGUGGAAGAGAAAAGGCCUUCAAAUGUAUUGAAGAAGAAACUGACUUUUUAAAAAAAUGUUAAGAAGUGUGAUUUCCUCCAGCUUCUUUCCUCUUUCUUAGGGAGCAAUGAAGCAGCCGCAUAUGGGUCAAGGGCCAUCAAAAGGGACUUCAGAGCCUUGGGAUGACAGCUGAAGUAAUUGAAUGCACAGGUCAUCUUUUCUUCUCUGCCUCCUAUAUUGGGUCACACAGUCCUCAAAUGAUUGAUUUGGAAGGAGGGAACUGGGGAAACAACGUCCCUCCCACUAUAACCAAAGGUCAGGUUGAUGACCACGUGAAGAACCUGAACAUCCAGAAGUCUGUGAGUCCCAAUGAGAUGUAUCCCAGAGUCUUGAGGGAAUUGGCUGAUGUACUCACCAAGCCACUCUCAAUGAUAUUUGAAAAGUCAUGACAGUGAGGUGAAGUCCCUGGUGACUGGAAAAAAGGCAACAUCACAUUCGUUUUUGAGAAGGGUGAAAAAUAUGAUCCUGGGAACUACCAACCUGUCAAUCUCACCUGUGUGCCAGAAAAAAAUCAUGAAGCAGAUCCUCUUGGAAGCUAUUCUAAGGCACAUGGAAGACAGAGAUGAUACGACAGAACCAGCAUGGCUUCACCAAAGGCAAAUAUUGCUUGAACAACCUAAUGUCCUUUUAUGAUUUUGUCACUGCAUCAACAGACAAGGGAAGAGCCAUUGAAGUCAUCUACCUGAACUUCAGUAAGGCUUUUGACACAGUAGCUCACAACAUCCUUCUCUCCAAACUGGAAAGCUAUGGAUUUGAUGGGUGGACUGUUUGAUGGGCAAAGAACUGGCUGCAGGGUCUAAUCCAGAGUGGUGGUUGAUAGCUCCAUGUCAGAAUGGAGAUCAGUGAUGAAUGGUGCCCCCAGGUGCUAGGAAGGAAACUCUUUAAUAUCUUCAUCAGUUACUUCAACAGAGGGUUCAUGUGCACCCUCAGCAAGUUUGUGGAUGACACAAAGGUGUGGAGCAUGGACAACACACCUGAGGGUUGGGAUGCCAUUCACAGGGAUCUAGACAGGCUUGAGCAGUGGGCCCAGAAGAACCUCAUGAGUCUUGCAUCUGGGUCAAAGCAACCUCCACUUACCAGUACAAGCUGGGGGUGAAAAGACUGAGCACACACUGACAGGUUGAGGGACGUGAUCCUGACCCUCUGCUCUGAGCUGAUGAGGUCUCAUCUGGAGAAUUGCAUUCGUAUGUGGAGUCCUCAGUACAGGAGAGACAUGGAUCUGUUGGAGUGUGUCCAGAGGAGGGAUACAAAAAUGGUCCAAGAGAUAGAACACCUCUCCUGUGAGGACAGGCUGAAAGAGCUGGGCUCUUCAGCCUGGAGAAGAGAAGGCUCUGAGGCGACCUGAUAGUGAGUGGCCUUUCAAUAUCUUAAGGGGAGUUAUACAAAAGAAGAGGACAGACGCUUUAUCAGGGUCUGUUGUGACAAUGAUAAGGGGAAAUAAUUACAAACUUAAAGAGGGUAGAUUUUAGAUUGGAUACAAGAAAAAAGUCUUUUACAUGGAGCGGGGCGGGGAACUGGAACAUGUUGCCCAGAGACCUGGUGGAUGCUCUGUCUCUGGAGGCUUUCAAGGCUAAACUUGACCGGGCUCUGAGCAACCUGAUCUAGCUAUGGGUGUCUGCUCAUUGCAGGGGAGUUGGGCUUGGUACCUUUAAAGAUUCCUUCCAUCUCCAAAGAUUUUAUAAUUCUAUGAUUCUAUAAAUCUUUCACAUCUUCAUGUAUUUGGUGCCUCAGAUAACCACCAGUUUAAUAUUGCAUGUACAGUCACUUUAGUUACCUGUUUCUCAAGUACAUCCUAUGGGACUAACAGACAGCAAUAUAACAGGAAAAAGAAAUAAAUGUUUGAAACUCCAAUGACAAGCUACUCUGCAGAGCCUGGGAUGUGAUAACACAAGUCUUUUACUUGAGUUUGUUAACAAGUUUUAUAACAUUUAAUAGUUCACUGUAACAUCACCCAGAAUUCUAUGAUACAGUUAAAACAGACUGUAUGUAACACACAGCAUUCUCUAUUAGGCUCUGCAAGUUUGUAGAGUGGAUUCUAAAGAAUUAUCAUAAAAUUGUCGUAGAUUGCCCUUUGUCGCUUUUAACUCCAUUAAAUUAAAUGUAAAUGCCCAAAAACACUCUUCCUUCAUAUCUUCAUCCCUUUCCUUUGAUGGCUUUGUUGAAUUUCAACUUCACAGAACUCUCUUCACAUCAAAAUGAGUCUCUGUGAAACAGAGCAAAAUAUCCAGAAUAUCUACUUUCCCUGACAUGCAACAGUCUAGCCACAGAAGUGACAAGUUUAAGUAUGAAGAGUCUGUGGUGAUAAGAAUGAGACAUAAAUUUUAAUAAUUCCUUUGAGAGAUGUUUCAUGUCUACAAAUGCUGGCGAGCAUAGUAAAAAUCUAUAACUUGUAAAUUUUUUAAAUUCACACUUUUGAGGGUAAGUGGGCAAUCAUACACAUGGUCCUGUGCAACUCCUGAAGGACAGCAUGGACUAUGACUAAUUAUAUGUGUAAGAAUGUUGACAAACAAUGUCUUGAGGAAAACAGAAGCAGGAAAAGAUCUAUAGUUUUUAACUUAAAUACCAGGAAGAAAAUGACUCUUGAAUCUUGCUUAUGAGUAGUUAGGGAAACAGCCAUCUUUCUUCUAUUGUCUGAUCUAAACUAAGCCAUCUAAUGCAGAUUAAAAUAAUUUAAUGAAACCUGAAAGCCCUUUCACAAGCAAAGAUGCAAACUGCUCCAGUGUCUCACCACUCUCACAGUAAAGAAUUUCCUCUUAAUAUCUAGUCUAAACCUACCCUUUUCCAGUUUUAAACCAUUUUACCUUGUCCUUUCACUACGUACUCUUAUAAAAAGUCCCUCCCCGGGUUUCCUGUAGGCCCCCUUCAGGGACAGGAAUUCAAUUUUCAUCUAUCUAAAUCACUCACAUUUUUCAUAAUAUUCUCUUACGGUUUCAUUCUGAAGAAAAUGUUUUUCAAGAAAUAAACAAAUUAUUUUGUUAUCAGAAGUAAGAAAGUAAUCUAGUAACUGAUUCAUGCUGUUCUUUACAUUUAUAAUCAAAAGGAAUUAAAGAGUUGGUACAGAAAGAAACUCUUUGAAAUUAAAAAUAGAACUAAAAUGGAAAGAAAGCACCAACAAUCUUGUUUUAAAUUGAACACCAAGUCCUGGUGGAACUGCAAGAACUGGAACCACUGUGACUAGAAAGGUCACUACGCAUAACAAAUGCACAGGCUUGCUGCAACAAGCAGCACUGUAGUUGCAGAAUUAUGUACAUACACAUACACAUACAGAAAAAAAAAAAAGGUAAAAAUAAUAUAAUUUAACUGUUAAUGUUAAGUACAACAUUAAGUUGAAAGUACUCUUUCAACUGUAUGAUUGCAUUUGGUAAUUCUGGCAUACCGCAGAUGAACAUAAUGGUGCAACACAGACAUAUUGUAGAAUCAUAGAAUGAUCUGGGCUGGAAGGGAUAUUGAGGAUCAUCAAGCUCCAAGCCCCCUGCCACAGGCAGGGCCACCAGCCUCCACAUUUAAUUCUAGACCAGGCUGCCCAGGACCCCAUCCAACCUGGCCUUGAACACCUCCAGGGACAAGGCAUCCACAACCUCUCUGGGCAGCCUGUUCCAGCACCUCACCACUCUCAUAGUAAAGAACUUCCCCCAGAUAUCCAACCUAAAUCUUCCCUCCUUCAACUUAAAACCAUUUCCCCUUGUCCUGCUAUUAUCUACUCUUUCAAGGAGUUGGCUCCUCACCUGUUUAUAGGCUCCCUUUAGAUACUGAAAGGCUGCAGUGAUGUCACCCCACAGCCUUCUCUUCUCCAGGCUGAACAGGCCCAGAUCCCUCAGUUGGUCUUCAUAGGGGAGCCGCUCCAGCACUCCAAUCAUCUUUGUGGCCCUCCUCUGGACCCUCUCCAACAGCUUCCUGUCUUUCUUGUACAGGGGGCCCCAGACCUGGACUCAGUACUCCAGAUGGGGCCUCAUGAGGGCAGAGUAGAGAGGGACAGUCACUUCCCUGUCUCUGCUGGCCAGCCCUCCUCUAACUGAGCCCAGGAUACCAUUUGCUUUCCAAGCUGCAAGAGCAUGCUGGUGUCUCAUGUUAAGUUUUUCAACCACCAGGACCCCCGGGUCAUUCUCUUCAGGGCUACUCUCAAGGGCUGCUGCUUCCAAUCUGUAUAUAUGCCUGGGAUUCCUCCAUCCCAAGUGCAAAUCCUUGCACUUUUCUGUGUUGAACCUCAUUAGAUUUACCUGGGCCCACCUUUCAAAUCUGUUGAGGUGUAUCUGAAUGGCAUCCUGUUGUUCCAUUGUGUCAACCGCACCACUCAGCUUAGUGUCAUCAGCAUAUUUAUGUUCUUAAAAAUUAAAAAGAUGUAUAUUACAUCUAUCAUCUUAAAUUUUCACACCAGUAUGGAGCUUCAAGUAGACUUCCUCCUGCUGAUUCUCUGGACAUCUUUGAUGGGAGUUUUGUGUCUGCAGUUGCAUCUUCUACUUUUGAUUUUGUGAGCCAAGAAACCUCUGAUUCUGUACAGUGAUGUGCAUCUAAAGUGGAAGUGAGUCAUUAGAAAUUAACAUCUAAAAUCAGAAACAAAAUCUAAAAGAAGUAUUUUCCUUCUAUAAAUUAGCAGUAAAUUAGUGCAUCAGAGUAAACAUCCAUGUAAGUAAUCAUAUUUUUUUAAGAAGUAAAAAAAACCCAUAAGUUUCAGAGCCCUGAGUUUUAUACAAAUGAAGCCACAGAUAUAUCACAUACAGCUUCUAUAGAAACUAAGAUUCCUUAUAUGAAUUUUAUGCUAAUUGCUUUCAGAAUAUACAUGUGGUCAUUUUCAGAUUAUGUUUUCAUCCUCAAUCUCUUUACACCUAACUGAUUUUGUAUCUCAUAUUUGCUUUGCGUUCAAAAGUGGAUUGCUCAAUCUUGUUUCUUAAGGCUGGGAUGUUCUGUGCAUUGAUGGAUAUCUUGAAAAAUCUGUAAUUGCAUGUGCUUAAAUGCUCACAAGCAGCUUUCAAAAUAAACAACAGCUGAUAAUGCAGCUCAGAGAGAAGAGGUAAGUUGAUCCCAAAUACAAGUUCACAACAGAUAAGCACAUGCUGUAUUUCUGUGUCUGAUAUACAUAUGUACAUUUGUGGACUUGUUUUUAGUGUGAAGUAAAAAAUGUAAUUUAAUAAACUGCCUGUACCCACAGAUGUUCCUCUUUCACUUUAAUAGUAUGAAGAUACUUG
ensembl:lncRNA